CAAAGAGGAUCAUAGAGACGAAAAGAAAGAGUAAACCCGGCGUCCCUCAGCCCAAGGUGCUGCAGUGCGUCUUCCGCACUUACGCAGACUAGUCACGCGAGGAAACUCCCGCCAAGCGCUGAGAGAGGCAAAUACAAGGGGGAGGGGGCGGGAGGCGGAGCGAGAGGAGGAGCGGGAGGAGGAGCCCGAAGGUGAAGCCUUUGGUGAGGGUGCGUGGAGCCCAGAGGGUGUGCUGAACUGAGGUGUUGUAUGGAUCAGCUCUGGCCCCAUUGUAUUCUCCUAUAGCAACACUCAGCCAGCCUGAGCCGCUGUGGACCCUUCAGGAGCAAGGACCUAGCCGCUAGCCAGCCUUCAAGGCAUGUUUCUGGACUCAAUCAAGGAUGACUCCCUGUUGAAAAGCGCCAUAUCCACGAAGGAGAUAUACGUACAGGUUGGCCCGCCUUGGUGCGACCCCACGGGCUUCUCUCUGGAUUGGCA